UUGCAGAAUGCAUAUGCGAACGCACCAGGUAUUGGUUGGCGUUUGGGUAAUCUAGUCUGGUCAUCAUCCAUUUUCCUAUAACUACAGGCCCACGAGGGAGGUUACGUUCGUGCAUUGAAUCCGCCAGAAUGACUUCAGGAUGGUCACAAUUGCUACGUUUGAAACUGGAAUAUGCCGUUCACUCUUGCGAGCCGAGUUGAAUCUCACUAUUAAUAAACGUCAUGCAAUCUAUGCCAGGUAGAUGCCCGGGAAAUCGAUAAAUACAUUGCCACAGUAAAAGGUAAACAAAGAGAAGAAUACAAAUAAAAUAGAAUAAACUAUAAGAAAAAGAAAGAAAAAAAAGACGCAGCUUUAUAUGCAGGGUACAGAGAGGACACGCAAGCUGGAAAAUAAAUAUCAAAAAAUAUCAAAAAUCAAAAACUAAGGAGAAUAUGUGGGAAUGAUACAGAAAAAACGCUCACACAUAACUGUAGAGAGAGGGAGCGGAAAACAAACAUAAAAUGGCAGAAAAGAAAAUUUCGGAAGAAAAAAAAAAUAAAAUAAAAAAUAAAAUAAAAUAAAAUAAAAAGACAUCCUGCACCGCUAGCAACAAAGACCAAGUCCAGUACAUUACCCAGAAACCGCCCACACACACCUGCCUUGUUGAAUAUCUAGCCCAAAACUCCAGACUCGAAAAAACCCUCCAAAUCCACCACCCAGACGAAAUGCGACAUCAAGAACCCAGAACACCAAAUCCCAAACACCCAACCUACUCAACACCAAGAGCCCUUCUAUAUAUCUGUACAAGACACAUAUAAUACCCACAAACAACGCAUGUAAUACAACCCCAGGAACACUCACAAAACCCCCUUUAGCCCGCUCUCAGUAAAAACCACACCCACCAUGUUAACCACCGUACAUUCCAUCCAGCUUACCAGUUAGGGGAGAAAGAAAACACCAUUUCCACCAAGACCCAUAGCUUCCGGCGG
rnacentral:sRNA from 2 species